AAAUUUUAUUUAAAUACGAAUCCGAACAGGAUGGAUUUGUUCGAUUUUAAACAGAUAUGGUUUCGAAUACAAGUAUAAAAAAUAAAAUUUCGACAGAGAUGAAUUUGGAUAUGAAUUUUGUCCCUGCCCAACUUGAACCCAAAUUGAUUUUUCAAUACAUAUUAUGUAUAAAUGUUUGAUGUUAUAUUUGAAUUUGCAUUCUAAAAAUUUAGUAUUUUUAACAUAAUAUAUUUUGAAAUAUGAUAAAGAGAAAUAAUUGUUUCGAGUUUCGAUUUUUGAGUUUGGGUUCGGAUUUCGGGGUUUUUGGUCGGAUUUGAAUUUGGAUAUGAAUAUUCAAAAUCCGUCGUGUUUGGAUUCAUGUUCAGGUUUUGAAAAAUCUGUCCCGAAUCCGAUCAGUUGACAUCCCUACUUAUGUCGUUACGUG
rnacentral:lncRNA from 1 species